rnacentral:tmRNA from 1 species
GGGGCUGCACUGGUUUCGACGUGGGUUCGGACACGCAGCAGGGCAUGUCGAGGUUCUGUCACCUCGUAAAUCAGCAGAAAAAAACUAACUGCAAACGAAGCAGCAAACGAUUCCGUUUACACCAAGUACAAACUGGCGUAAGCGGAUCGUAUCCGGGGACUAACCUCUCCGGUCCUUGCAGCAGCUCGUCGAUGGGCUGUGCCGAGGGCCGCAAGGCCUGAAGCCGCAAGGUCAUUCACAUCGACUGGACUUGCAUCGUGCUCCUUGAUGCAGGUCGAGAUCCAAGGGGGCUGGCCGAUUCCACAGCGUGCCGCUGUGCGGUGGAACCGGCGAGAUCAAACCAGACGGCUACACAUGUAGAACUGCGCGGAAAAGGCUUGCGGACGGGGGUUCGAAUCCCCCCAGCUCCACCA